rnacentral:rRNA from 1 species
AUUGCCUCAGUAACGGCGAGUGAAGCGGCAAGAGCUCAAAUUUGAAAGCUGGCUCCUUCGGGGUCCGCAUUGUAAUUUGCAGAGGAUGCUUCGGGCAUGGCCCCCGUCUAAGUGCCCUGGAAGGGGCCGUCAUAGAGGGUGAGAAUCCCGUCUGGGACGGGGUGUCCGUGUCCGUGUGAAGCUCCUUCGACGAGUCGAGUUGUUUGGGAAUGCAGCUCUAAAUGGGUGGUAAAUUUCAUCUAAAGCUAAAUACUGGCCGGAGACCGAUAGCGCACAAGUAGAGUGAUCGAAAGAUGAAAAGCACUUUGAAAAGAGAGUUAAACAGCACGUGAAAUUGUUGAAAGGGAAGCGUUUGCGACCAGACUCGCUCGCGGGGUUCAGCCGGCAUUCGUGCCGGUGUACUUCCCCGUGGGCGGGCCAGCGUCGGUUUGGGCGGCCGGUCAAAGGCCUCCGGAAUGUAUCACCUCUCGGGGUGUCUUAUAGCCGGGGGUGCAAUGCGGCCUGCCUGGACCGAGGAACGCGCUUCGGCUCGGACGCUGGCG